rnacentral:lncRNA from 1 species
CCUAUCUCCACAAUUUCAUUCAUUGAUGUUUAUAAUUUAUCAUAUACAUAAUCAUCAUUGAGGGAUUUUUGCUAAUUUGGUGUCAGGAAAGUUUCUUCUGACGUUCUCAAGUGUUAAAACUUCUAUACUAUAUACAGCUCAGUUAUGUUCAUAGCUGCAGCUACUCCGUCUUCUGUUCAGGAUAGUCUCUAGUAUCCAUUCUUAUAUGGUCUGAAACUCCUCCUUUUUUGAUAGUGGAAAAAAUGUUUAUACGAGGCUAAGAGCUGUUAAGAAGAAAACUAAGAAAAUGGAUAAUUGUUCUUUGCAGUACUUUUUGCUGGCAGAUCUUUGUUGUCUUUCCAGACCUUGGCAUCUAUGUCAUUUAGCCCUAGUAACUCAGAUAUCUUAGAGGAAACAUUAUCUUAAGAAAAAAGAUCUAUCAUCAUUAUUAAAAAGUGACACACACACACACACACACACACACAGACAUGCACAUGAAAAUAUAAAAACAAAUGGUCUAUCAGUGAAGUGUGCUAGCAAGAAAUAAGAGCUUCUUUUUGGAGAGUAAUACAAACAUGGAAAAAAACCUAUCAAUAAAAUGAUAACUAAUAGGAAAAAUAAGUUAUGGGCAUAGAUGUAAAGAUUAAGAAAUAUGAGAGAAGUCUUGGGAAAAGCGUGGAAAGUCAAUAUACUAGGCAGAAAAAAGGGUCUGUGCGGUUCCAAGCACCAUUUGGAACUCCAGCAGCGUUGCUCCACACUGAUGAGAAACAAGAUGCACUGUGAUGCGUUUGGGAUUGCUCUUUCAGCCUUGGCACAUGAUGAAGAAAGGCACUUAGCCUGAAAAUGUUUGAUAUUCCUGCAGAGUAACCCUACCUGUCCUGCCUUUGUAUCAACUAGCAGAGCAUUAACUGAACACAUUUUUCUUUUCGUUUUUCAAAUUAUUAUUAUGAGAUGCUGUAAUUUACAACAAAUUAUGCACACCAAAGCCGUGUUAAGUGUUGACAAAACUCAUAGGGAGACACUGAGUAAAAGCUGAGAUUCCAUCUUUAAUCCACUCACUUUGCAUUUGGGACCUCAGAACAUAAGUUUUGGGGAAAACACUAACUGGUAAGGAAUCCAACAGUCUAACUGAAAAAUAUGAAAUAUAUUCCUUUCUGAAAAAUCUUGUGAAAGCACGUUUUCAAACACUGGCAGCUGACUAAGAAAAAGGCCUAUAAAUGAUCUCUCUUACUACUUUUAUGUUUAAAGUACUGUCAGCAGUUCUGUUACAGGGACUUACUGGGAAGUACUAGAUUAAUUUCUUACUCAGCCAUAAGAAUAUGUAUUUCUUUACAAUUUAGUGGCUUAUUUUGGCCUACAAAAUAUACACAGGUGUGCACUGGUGUUCGUGUGUUUGUUGAGAGUGACUGCAUACAGGAACGCAUACACUUGUGUUCACAUAUACCAGUGCCCACGCAUUCUAUAGAAAUGCUUAUAAACAAAAAAAAACCCUUCCACAAAUGAUGAUCCUACUGGCAUGCACAAAGAUGACACCCUUGAACAGGGAUAUUUUUGUGGGCAUUAGUCAGCUGCUUGCUUAUGAAAACUUGAUCCAGUGUCUGACUCUGGAGUUAUUUGCAUGACCAGGAUGCAUUAUUUUAGGUCUCUAUUAUAAAUCCUUGUAAUAUAAUUGUUGACAGAACCUUUAGCGUAGCAUUGCUAGCAGAUCAUUGAUGAUAAUUAUGAUCUGCUAGCAGAUCAUUUAUUCAUUCAGCCCAGGAAUAAAUGCUUGAUACAUAAAUUUUACUAACCGCA